rnacentral:rRNA from 1 species
UACGUAGGGUGCAAGCGUUGUCCGGAAUUAUUGGGCGUAAAGAGCUCGUAGGUGGUUUGUUAAGUCUGCUGUGAAAUCCCCCGGGCUCAACCUGGGAAUGGCAGUGGAUACUGGCAAGCUAGAGUGCGGUAGAGGGUAGUGGAAUUCCCGGUGUAGCAGUGAAAUGCGUAGAGAUCGGGAGGAACAUCAGUGGCGAAGGCGGCUACCUGGACCAGCACUGACACUGAAGCACGAAAAGCGUGGGGGAGCAAACAGG